UACGUAGGGUGCAAGCGUUGUCCGGAAUUAUUGGGCGUAAAGAGCUCGUAGGCGGUCUGUCGCGUCUGCUGUGAAAACUCGGGGCUUAACCCCGGGCCUGCAGUGGGUACGGGCAGACUAGAGUGCGGUAGGGGAGACUGGAAUUCCUGGUGUAGCGGUGAAAUGCGCAGAUAUCAGGAGGAACACCGGUGGCGAAGGCGGUUCUCUGGGCCUGUACUGACGCUGAGGCGCGAAAGCGUGGGGAGCGAACAGG
rnacentral:rRNA from 1 species